CCACUGGGACAGAGCUUUCCCUCGGGCAUUUAAAGCAGCAGCAGACACCAGCCUCGUCAUCCUCGGGAUCUGCAUAAGUGUGUCCAGCUGGGAAAAGGACCUGUGGGCUCAGGGUCCUUCCCAGCAGGGAAAUACAAUUUCAGAAGCAGCUUCUUCCCCGUACAAGGGGCUGGGUCAGCAGGGAUGAGGAAGGAAGCAGUGGGAGGGAUGAAGGAGCUGAGCCGUGCCAGGCCCGUGCAGCUGCAGCCAAGCCAGAUCCUGCAGGAGCCUCACUCUGUGCUGCAGAGGGGAAUAUGUGUGUGUGCUAAAAAACAGCGGCUGGGGACAAACCCCUUGGUAUUGACUGCCAAAAUCUCCUUCUAAGAGUCCUGUUUUUCUGCUUGCCCUGCAGUAGGAGCUCCCACUGAGGUGGCUUUUAGCCCCAGGACUUUCUGCUGGGAUAUUCCUCUCCAAGAGCUGUGAUUACACAAGCCACGCUCUCUGCCUGAUCCAGCCUUGAUGGACAGAUGGGCAGUUCAGGCACAGGUCACAUCCACGAGGAGCCUUGGUCAAAGAAAAUAUAUGAUAAAUUGAUUUUAUUUAUUUUUUUGGUCUUUGGAGAGGAAGCAGAAACAGCUGUAUCUCAUUUGGAGAGGAAAUCCAGGCCUCCCCUGGACGCUCGGUGGGUGCCAGGGAGGUGAGCUGUCAGCAGACACACUCUUCUCUCCAUUUGAACAGUAAAUCUCUGUGUGCUGCGGUGUGACUGCACAGACAGGCAGCACUGUGGCUUCCAAGGCUUCUCAUCUCUCAUGCUUUUGGUUCUGAGCCUUGGUGGGAGCUUGGGACAGGCGGGGAUGGUCCCUCCCCUCCCAGUGUGGUGAUGCCCUGGCUGUGCUGCUCCUGCAGCAGGGAGAGAGAGAAGCUGAGAGCAAAUCCCAGCUUUUAUCCCCUCUGGGACAGCAAAAGCUGUUGGGUGCUGGUGCCCAGCACAAAACUUCCCUGCUUUGGUGACCUGAAAUGCCACCGUUGGUGACCCUGAAGAAAAGGGCUGUGCUUCCUCUGCCAUUAUUUCCUAAGCUUGGGCUGAGAUCAGACCGUGG
rnacentral:lncRNA from 1 species